GAGAGGAGGAUAAAUCCUGUACAAAAUAGAACCCUAUUCUAUUCCCUAUAUAAUGCAUUACUUUUGAUCAGGGCCCAUAGGGCGAAGUAGUGCACUAAAUAGGGAAUAGAGGUGCCAUUCAGGACACACCCUCUAUUGUCCCGUCUAGGCUGAAACUACACACUGACAAAAGACAAUAGGAGGCAGGAGGGGUUAGCCUCUAGAGGGUCACAAAUAAUAAACACAGUGACAGUUAUUCAUUAUAUUUAUAGCUACAAAGGAAGUUGGGUUACUGGCUCUACAACCACACAGACAGAAAGUACGUAGUCCUCAACCCACAGGGACUCAUAUGAGGACAGACCAAGACCAGAUGGGAAGCACACAUUACACUGGUUUUAAGGUCUCUGCACUGGCUGUCAGUUUUAGAAUAUAUUUGAAGAUUCUUCUAUUGGUUUUUAAAUACAGUGGGGAGAACAAGUAUUUGAGACACUGCCGAUUUUGCAGGUUUUCCUACUUACAAAGCAUGUAGAGGGGACCUGAGCCCUAGGACCAUGCGUCAGGACUACCGGGCAUGAUGACUCCUUGCUGUCCCCAGUCCACCUGGCCGUGCUGCUGCUCCAGUUUCAACUGUUCUGCCUGCGGCUAUGGAACCCUGACCUGUUCACUGGACGUGCUACCUGUCCCAGACCUGCUGUUUUCAACUCUCUAGAGACAGCAUGAGCGGUAGAGAUACUCUCAAUGAUCGACUAUGAAAAGCCAACUGACAUUUACUCUUGAGGUGCUGACUUGUUGCACCCUCGACAACUACUGUGAUUAUUAUUAUUUGACCAUGCUGGUCAUUUAUGAACAUUUGAACAUCUUGGCCAUGUUCUGUUAUAAUCUCCACCCGGCACAGCCAGAAGAGGACUGGCCACCCCUCAUAGCCUGGUUCCUCUCUAGGUUUCUUCCUAGGUUUUGGCCUUUCUAGGGAGGUUAUCCUAGCCACUGUGCUUCUACACCUGCAUUGCUUGCUGUUUGGGGUUUUAGGCUGGGGUUCUGUACAGCUCUUUAACUAUCCCAAAGCCUAGGACCAAGAGGCAUGGAGAGACAGCCUUUUAACUAUCCCAAAGCCUAGGACCAAGAGGCAUGGAGAGGCAGCCUUUAGUUACUAUGCCCCCAGCCUCUGGAAUAGCCUGCCAGAGAACCUGAGGGGGGCUGAAACUAUGGACCUAUUUAAAACCUCUUCGGGAUCGGUGUCCUCCCCCUUGGGACGGUUGAGCUAACGUAGGCUAAAGUGAUUAGCAUGAGGUUGUAAGUAACAAGAACAUUUCCCAGGACAUAGACAUAUCUGAUAUUGACAGAAAGCUUAAAUUCUUGUUAAUCUAACUGCACUGUCCAAUUUACAGUAUCUAUUACAGUGAUAGAAUACCAUGCUAUCGUUUGAGGAGAGUGCACAGUUAUGAUCAUGAAAAUAUAUUAAUAAACCAAUUAGGCACAUUUGGGCAGUCUUGAUACAACAUUUGAACAGAAAUGCAAUGAUUCAUUGAAUCAGUCUAAAACGUUGCACAUACACUGCUGCCAUCUAGUGGCUAGAAUCUAAAUUGCGCCUGGGCUGGAAUAAUACAUUAUGAAGAUUAUGAAGAAAAAAUAAAAUUGUAUCUUUUACCAGAUCUAAUGUGUUAUAUUCUCCAACAUUAAUUUCACAUUUCCAACAAACUUCAAAGUGUUUCCUUUCAAAUGGUAUCAAGAAUUUGUCAUAUUCUUGCUUCAGGUCCUGAGCUACAGGCAGUUAGAUUUAAAUAUGUCAUUUUAGGCGAAAAUUGGAAAAAAGAGUCAGAUCCUUCUUAAAAGAGAUCUUAAAAUACACCUUUUUAACUUCUCUUUUCCUUGGGGGGCUUUUUAGUUGUUCAGUUUUAUUGUUAUUCUUUAGAUUUAAAAAAAGUUUUGUGUAGAAAAUAUUUCAGCUUUUAUUGUCAUUGUUUAUGUGUUUUUUUCCCCCUGUGAAGAACACUGUGUUACAUUUCAUGUCUGAAAUAGGCUGUAUAAAUAAAGCUUGGUUUGAUUUGAUAGAUUAAAAAUAAUUAAUUUGGUGUGAAAUAAAACAGGACACAGACAUGAAGUCA